AAAAUACAAAUGUAACCAAAUCAGUGAUUUAAUUGGCAAAUGCCAUGACCGAUAUGUAUUGCAUAUGUAUUGCACAUGUAUAGCCCUUUAUUGCUUGUGUAUUGCCCCCGUAUAUCCUUUUUUUUUUUUUAAAGUCUGUUGGAAUAAAUUUAUAGGGGGAUUAUGAAGUUUUGUUAUUGCCAUUGUAUAGCCUUUUAUUGCUUGUGUAUUGCUACUGUAUUGCCCCUGUAUAUCUUUUUUUUCUUCAAGUCUGUUGGAAUAAAUUUAUAGGAGUAUGUGUAUUGCCAUUGUAUAACCUUUUAUUGCUUGUGUAUUGCUACUGUAUUGCCCCUGUAUAUCUUUUUUUUUCAAGUCUGUGUUGGAAUAAAUUUAUAGGAGUAUGUGUAUUGUCAUUGUAUAGCCCUUUAUUGCCUGUAUAUUGCCAGUGUAUUGCCUUCGUAUAUCCCUUUUUUUUUAAAGUCUGUAUUGCAUGAAUGAAGGUGGGGAUGAGGAUGAGAAUGACAUACCUACCCCCGAUUCGAC
rnacentral:lncRNA from 1 species